GUGGGAGCGAGCCUGCUCGCGAAGGCGUUUUACCAGUCAGCAUCAUUGUUUGCUGACAGACCGCUUUCGCGAGCAGGCUCGCUCCCAC
rnacentral:misc_RNA from 1 species